UAGGGAGUCUUCGGCAAUGGACGAAAGUCUGACCGAGCAACGCCGCGUGAGUGAAGAAGGUUUUCGGAUCGUAAAACUCUGUUGGUAGAGAAGAACGUUGGUGAGAGUGGAAAGCUCAUCAAGUGACGGUAACUACCCAGAAAGGGACGGCUAACUACGUGCUAG
rnacentral:rRNA from 1 species